rnacentral:rRNA from 1 species
GACGAACGCUGGCGGCGUGCUUAACACAUGCAAGUCGAACGGAGUGGCGAACGGGUGCGUAACACGUGGGUGACCUGCCCUGCACUUUGGGAUAAGCCUGGGAAACCGGGAGUAAUACCGGAAAGUGUGGGAUGGGCCCGGGGCCUAUCCGUUUGUUGGUGGGGUAAUGGACUACCAGGGCGGCGACGGGUAGCCGGCCUGAGAGGGUGGACGGCCACAUGUGGACUGGGACACGGGCCAGACUCGUACGGGAGACAGCUGUGUGGAAGAUAGCACGAUGGGCGGAAGCAUGGUGCAGGAACGCCGCGUGGUGGGUGGCGGCCUUCUGGUUGUAAACUCCUUACACCAGCGACUCGGUAGAUGGAGAAGAAGCACCGGCUAACUACGUGCCAGCCGCCGCGGUAAUUC